rnacentral:rRNA from 1 species
UACGAAGGGGGCUAGCGUUGCUCGGAAUCACUGGGCGUAAAGCGCACGUAGGCGGAUCGAUCAGUCAGGGGUGAAAUCCCAGAGCUCAACUCUGGAACUGCCUUUGAUACUGUCGAUCUGGAGUAUGGAAGAGGUGAGUGGAAUUCCGAGUGUAGAGGUGAAAUUCGUAGAUAUUCGGAAGAACACCAGUGGCGAAGGCGGCUCACUGGCC